rnacentral:sRNA from 1 species
GAGAUGCCGGUGUUGGCGGCCCGAGCGGCUGUAGCUGCAGCGGCGGGGGAGGCGGCGGCAGAGGCAGCGGCGGGGCCCGGGAGGGGGGUGGCGUGGGGGACCGGCGCGUAGCCGGGACCAUGGAGGGGCAGAGCGGCCGCUGCAAGAUCGUGGUGGUGGGAGACGCAGAGUGCGGCAAGACGGCGCUGCUGCAGGUGUUCGCCAAGGACGCCUAUCCCGGGAGUUAUGUCCCCACCGUGUUUGAGAACUACACCGCGAGCUUUGAGAUCGACAAGCGCCGCAUUGAGCUCAACAUGUGGGACACUUCAGGUAGCCAAGUCCCUGGGGGUCACCCUGACUUCCAAGGCGGCCCUCUGUCCCCUCCCUUGGCUAGACCCUUAGGUUCCAGGUCAGCCCAGCCCAUCCAUCCAACAGGAAGGAAAAAUCAAUUUUCUGCUAAAAGCCAGGGAAACUGAGGCAGAACUUGCAGAGCCUGACAGAAACCAUGUCCUGAAGGAGAAAGCCUA